GACGAACGCUGGCGGCGUGCUUAACACAUGCAAGUCGAACGGGGAUGACAGGGCUUGCCUUGUCUGAUCAGUGGCGAACGGGUGAGUAACACGUGAGUAACCUGCCCCAGACUCUGGGAUAACCCCGGGAAACCGGAGCUAAUACCGGAUAUGACCCUUGUACGCAUGUGCUGGGGGUGGAAAGUUUUUCGGUCUGGGAUGGGCUCGCGGCCUAUCAGCUUGUUGGUGAGGUAGUGGCUCACCAAGGCGACGACGGGUAGCCGGCCUGAGAGGGCGACCGGCCACACUGGGACUGAGACACGGCCCAGACUCCUACGGGAGGCAGCAGUGGGGAAUAUUGCACAAUGGGCGAAAGCCUGAUGCAGCGACGCCGCGUGAGGGAUGACGGCCUUCGGGUUGUAAACCUCUUUCAGCAGGGAAGAAGCGGAAGUGACGGUACCUGCAGAAGAAGCACCGGCUAACUACGUGCCAGCCGCCGCGGUAACAC
rnacentral:rRNA from 1 species